CUCAAAGUGAGCACAGGUUCUUUGUGUACUUGCUAUUUCUCAUAAGCCUCAGUUUUUCAGCUAAACCAGGACCUCUGCUGCCUUCUCACAUCAAGCUUCCAACAGGAGACUCUCAGGCUGAAGAGCCUUUCAUAUACAAUUCCUAUUGUGCCAUUGUGCAUGGGUAAGUGCCUACAUUUCUGUUUAUAUUGUAAAGAUAUUAG
rnacentral:lncRNA from 1 species